rnacentral:lncRNA from 1 species
GGCUUGGCCAUGGGUACCAGUUCAGGAGUGAGGAAGCAACCAGAGUCUUGAUGAGUUCUGCAGGACCCUGGUCUGGAGGCUUGAAAACCUACUCAAACUUUCUGCCCUGUUCCUGGAAACCCAAUUCCAUCUGAAGGGAAGAGGUGGAAGAGUUGGAGCAGUGAGCAGAAAGGGGAAGUCUGGCUUGGUGACAUUAAUGGGCCCAGGCACAGUUAUAAAGCUCUAGGCAAACCCAGACCUUCCGUGUGAAGCGAGAUGCAAUGGAAGGGCAGGGGUCCAUCCAGGCCUGGAGCCAGCUGGCAGCACUGUCUUCAG